UACGGAGGGUGCAAGCGUUGUCCGGAAUCACUGGGCGUAAAGGGCGCGUAGGCGGCUCAUGAAGGCUGUGGUGAAAGUCCGGGGCUCAACCUCGGAUCGGCCGUGGCGACUCGUGGGCUGGAGCACUGUAGAGGCGGGUGGAAUUCCGGGUGUAGCGGUGGAAUGCGUAGAGAUCCGGAAGCACACCAGUGGCGAAGGCGGCCCGCUGGGCAGUGGCUGACGCUGAGGCGCGACAGCGUGGGGAGCAAACAGG
rnacentral:rRNA from 1 species